rnacentral:rRNA from 1 species
UACGUAGGGGGCGAGCGUUGUCCGGAUUCAUUGGGCGUAAAGAGCUCGUAGGCGGCUUGGCAAGUCGGGUGUGAAAACUCCAGGCUCAACCUGGAGACGCCACCCGAUACUGCCAUGGCUAGAGUCCGGUAGGGGACCACGGAAUUCCUGGUGUAGCGGUGAAAUGCGCAGAUAUCAGGAGGAACACCGGUGGCGAAGGCGGGUCUCUGGGCCGUAACUGACGCUGAGGAGCGAAAGCAUGGGGAGCGAACAGG